GUCGGUUCAUGUCAAUUUUGCAUGCUUUUGAGGAAAUGUAUCAAUCUUGAUCGUGAUGAGAAAAAUUCUUGGUGAUAUUGUAAGUUUCUGCUAACCAUUAAGCUAGCCAAUUCCACUCGCAGUACCCACUUUCCUGUGCAUCAGAGUUCCUAAAUUAUAUGUAAUUGCAAAUGUUCCUUGCAUUUCAGGUGCAGACAGCUAAGACGAACAUACUUUUAGCCAUAAGCUUUACUGAUAACUACAUACAAGACAUUCUUACACUUUUCUUGCUUAUUAACUACACAUAUUGGCCUAUCAUCUAACCCAACUGUUAUACGGGGUUGCAAAAUGUUGAUCAGCCUAUAAAUAUUUCAAAGAGUGUGAGAACUCAAUGAGGAACU
rnacentral:lncRNA from 1 species